rnacentral:rRNA from 1 species
UGAGUGCGAGCUGCUACGGCAGCGAAGUUGGUGACGUCAAGCUUCCAAGAAAAGCCCUAUACCCGUUAAGGCAUCAUGGCCUGUACCCGAAACCGACACAGGUGGGGUGGUAGAGAAUACCGAGGGGCGCGAGGUAACUCUCUCUAAGGAACUCGGCAAAAUGGCCCCGUAACUUCGGGAGAAGGGGUGCCACCGCGAGGUGGUCGCAGUGAAGAGGCCCAGGCGACUGUUUACCAAAAACACAGGUCUCCGCUAAGUCGCAAGACGAUGUAUGGGGGCUGACGCCUGCCCAGUGCCGGAAGGUUAAGGAAGCUGGUCAGCGCAAGCGAAGCUGGCGACUGAAGCCCCGGUGAACGGCGGCCGUAACAAUAACGGUCCUAAGGUAGCGAAAUUCCUUGUCGGGUAAGUUCCGACCCGCACGAAAGGCGUAACGAUCUGGGCGCUGUCUCGGAGAGAGGCUCGGCGAAAUAGAAUUGUCUGUGAAGAUGCGGACUACGUGCACCCGGACAGAAAGACCCUAUGAAGCUUUACUGUAGCUUGGUAUUGUGCCCGGGCUCUGAAUGCGCAGGAUAGGUGGGAGGCUUUGAUCAUCGGCUUGCGGGUCGAUGUGAGCCAACGGUGAGAUACCACUCUUUCAGAGCUAGGGUUCUAACAGUCACCCGUUAUCCGGGGACUGGACAGUAUCAGGUGGGCAGUUUGACUGGGGCGGUCGCCUCCUAAAAGGUAACGGAGGCGCGCAAAGGUCUGCUCAGGCUGGUUGGAAAUCAGCCGACGAGUGUAAAAGCAGAAGCAGGCUUGACUGUGAGACCUACAAGUCGAACAGGGAGGAAACUCGGCUUUAGUGAUCCGACGGUUCUGCGUGGAAGGGCCGUCGCUCAACGGAUAAAAGUUACUCUAGGAUAACAGGCUGAUCUCCCCCAAGAGUUCACAUCGACGGGGAGGUUUGGCACCUCGAUGUCGGCUCAUCGCAACCUGGGGCUGAAGUCGGUCCCAAGGGUUGGGCUGUUCGCCCAUUAAAGCGGUACGCGAGCUGGGUUCAGAACGUCGUGAGACAGUUCGGUCCAUAUCCGGUGCAUGCGCAAGAAUAUUGAGAGGAGUUCUCCCUAGUACGAGAGGACCGGGAGGAACGCACCUCUGGUGUACCAGUUAUCGUGCCAACGGUAAACGCUGGGUAGCCAUGUGCGGAGAGGAUAACCGCUGAAAGCAUCUAAGUGGGAAGCCCACCUCAAGAUGAGUAUUCCCAUGGCGUUAGCCAGUAAGGUCACGGGAAGAACACCCGUUGAUAGGCUCUAUGUGGAAGCGCAGUAAUGCGUGAAGCAGAGGAGUACUAAUAGACCGAGGGC